CUUCGCGGCAUUUUGAGUGGGUUUUCCUUCAGUAACAGCGCUGUGGCAGGGGCUGAAUAUUCUCUGGUUUAGGGUCGAGGGAAGGCGGCUUUAAGACCCUGUAGAAUUCUUCACCGGCUGGUCCGUUCCGUUUCACUGACCGCGUUUUGGAUUUAGCCCAAUCAGUGUCGCUAAAUGCAAACCACGUGAUUACUGUUCAUCCAGCCACACACAACAUGGAAGCCGCAUGAGGGAACACGUGAUCAACCAGGCAAGUCGUCAUUAUUGUUUGGAAUGCAGGGUAAGAUUCAGCACAGGUUCCAGCACUAUCAAGGGC